CAAAGUUGAAAUUAGCACAAAACAUUGGACCAGCAUGAAGAAGGAGCAACGAAAAAGGAUGGGGAAAGUGUCAAAGCACAGACCUCUGCAGAGGAAGCAAGAAGGAGAGAGGCAGUGAGGGAGACCCUGAGAGAGAAACUGGACCUGGAGAAGAGACCUGUGCAGGUGGUGGAGUGUCUCUUGGAGGAUAGCGUAGUGGAGGACUUCCUGGUUGACUGUGAAAGCUUGAUCACUUCUGCCAAUUACAAAGACAGUUGAGGAGAGAUCUAUUGUGAAGCUGUGUGGCUAUCCUGUCUGUUCAAAUGAACUGGGCUAGGUCCCCACUCAACAGUUAAACAUUUCCACCAACACCAAUAAAGUCAAUGACAUUACAGAACGCAAGUCCUUCUGCAGUAAUUCUUCUACAAAGCCUCCAAGUCCUUUGAGCUGCAGAUAUCAAAGAGCCCUCAGUGGUUGAGGCAGCACGAGAGAUGUAAACUUAAUGAAUAAAGGAGAUUGCGGUAGCACUGGAGAGGAGGAUGUGAGGAACCUCUGUACUCUGUGGCGCCAGAGAACCCCAGACGAUCCCGCACAGCCGGUCACAGCGACACAGAACAGCACUUUGUUUCCAGCGUGGUCUCCCAGCAACAGGGACCCAGGGUGCGCUGGGGCAGUCUGCUCAAGCACACCAACUAAGGGGAUGGGAGGGAACGAGGAGAGGGAGAGAAGGUCGGGAGGGAAGGACACAAAGAUGCCAAAACAAACAAACAAGGCUGAAGACAAGACAGAGGAGAAUACAGAAGAAUCACAGAAAGAACCAACAAAGACAAUCAAUGACAUAGAUGGACCCCAACAACACACAACAGAUACAAACAACCCCAGUGAGCAGCAGCCUUUCCUGGAAGAGAGAGGCUCACCAGAGGGCCGGUCUAUGGAGGAUGCCGCAGCACUACUGAGCCAAGUCACAAUGCAGGAUAGAGAUCCAGUCACGGUUACAUCUUCUGUACUAACAACCCUCAACACAAUGCAGUGUACAGAAUCAAGAUCCAGCUCCAACCCCCAACCCUCAGUGGGACUCAACCCCAGCACAGCCCACCCAGCCGGGCCUCAGGAUCAGCCAGGUGGGCAUGAGCAGGAGGGGGGCCCAGGGGCUCCUCAAGGGCCACGAAACUACUCCAAAACCUGGCUGAUGAAGGCCUAUGGAGGACCUUCGACGAAUGGUGGACUGAGGAGACUAUGAAGUUCCUAUAUGGCCCAGACCACUUUAAUAAAACAACAGUAGAAACGAAGAAGAAGGAGGAAGAAGAAGAACUGGAUGAAGAUAACCUGGAGGAUGUUGUAGAAGGGGUUGGGGAUGGAGGGGACGGCGGGUCCCCAGGGGGUCCAUGGAGACCCUCUGCUCCAUCCCCAGACUACGACACAAUACGCAGGGAUACAGAGGAGCUGGGGCUGAGUGUAAGGGAGUUCUACAAAAGGGAGGAAGCCCACCGGGUGUCAGGGAAACGGGCCCUGAGACUCAGAGCCUGAGAAACAUCGUGGUCUCCCUGCGUCUCACCAUGACUGACAUCUCCAGUGACCUCAACAACCUGGUCAGGACCUUCAGGUUCACAAACACCAACAUCAUUCACAAAGGCCCAGAGGGGACCAUGAUCGUUAUGGUGCUCCUCUAUCUGUGUGUGUGUGUGUGUGUGUGUGUGUGUGUGUGUGUGUGUGUGUGUGUGUGUGUGUGUGUGUGUGUGUUUCUGUGUCAUGUGCUGUUGCAGGAACAGCUGGAGAGCCUGUGCCUCAGUAGGAUCCGUCAGGGAUCAGCAGAGGAAAUCAGGGAACAUUGUUUUACCUGGGGGAACACCCUCUCAACAAACUUAACCUAGUGAUUUAUCUCUACUUGUGUGUAUCCAGGGUGCACUGCAGUGUGUGUGUUCUUUUGGAUGCUCUCUUUGGUACAUUUUAAACAUCAUAAAAGUGAAUACCAACCUGUUAAAACUCAUGAUUUCAUUAAGAUAUGCAUAGAAUUAGAAUUUGUAUAUUCAUUAUUAUGAAAAACGCAUACACAUAACCACAGGCUCAGCAAUUCAAAGGUUUCCUUGUGUUUUAUGUUGCCCUGUGAAAUAUACAGUGUGGUGUGUGUGUGUGUGUGUGGCAUCUCCAAUCUGCGUUGUGUGCUUGCCCUUGCAUUGUUUGACCUGUGCCAGAUGGCGUGUGUGGUGUGUGUGCGCACUACUUCCCCAGGCAGGUCGGUGGCAGGGCGUGAGCCUAGCAGGCGCUGUGUGGGACAGUUCCGUGCUGCUCCCGUCUGUGUACACACAGACGCCUCUCGGCCUUAUCUCCUCCACCUGAUUACCCCCCCAACCCUAACCCUCUGUAGAUCCGUGAUGCAGCAGCCAGGGGCGACACACACACGCCCUGGGAAACAUUCCAUUCGGUCCCUAACUGAUCCACUGUGUACACCACCCCAGAGAGGAGACCAGGGACAUAACUUCAGCUCUGAUUUAUAGCUGUCUAAAUAAAUGAGAGAUGACGCUUUCUUGAGUUGAUAUCACCUUAUCUAGGCUACAGAUGUUGUCUUCAUCCAAUCUGAUAAGUAGAUAAUAAAGAACAUGCCUUAUUGAGUGAGGUGCUCAACAAAUAAUUGAAAGUUGUACCUGGCUGUUGGCUGCAGUAUGGUUUCAACUACCGGUAACUCAAAAUGUCUCGUAUUUAGUCAGGCUCAUAAUGUUUAUUAUAAGAAAGGAUAAAUGAGUCUUAUGACAAGUCUUACAUUGCAUUAUAAGCACAUCAUAAAGCAUACAUACUUAUCCGAAGUGUUAUCCAUUAUUUUUAUACUUACUAACAAUAUAUCUGCAGGACCAUAGAACAGUACCAAGCCAUUAGCAUUUCAGUCAACUAUCCAACUAUCCAUCUCAUGAAUCAUUUGCAGUUGAGGCCCACCUACUGCAUGGCAGCUGUGUAAUUAGUCGGGCCUCUGUUGUUGUGGUUAGGUGAAUCGUGUGAAUAAUGGAUGGGCCUCAUGCAACACUAGACCCAGGUAGCAGCUACGCUCCAGGAGACAUAUACACACUGUGCUCCUGUAUCCCUAACACAUAUUUACCAGCCCUCUGGUUAGCCUAUUUCCGAGAUACUUUUCCCAUCACCAAAGGCACAUAUAUCAUCUGGAAUGUCUUACAUCCCUACUGGCUAAACAAAAUAAAGUGUGCCCUUAAACACACAGCUUUGUAGACUUUACAAACAUGUGCAUUGUGCUGCUGAGGAGAUUAGUCAUAUUGCCACCCAGAAAUCAUAUACAUAUUUACUAUAGAUGCCUGAGGAGAUCUACAUGUCACGUUGGGGGCGAUGAAACAACAGAAGCACGUUCAUUUUCAAUGACAGAAGCGAAGUGGGCUCGGGUACCGUUGGGCAAUAAGAACGUGGGCGAGGGACUGGAAAAGGGCGGGACCAAAGUUGGGGAAUGUGGAACUUUAUGCAAAUACUCCGCGACAUCUCGUUACUGUUGGCCAAUCGAUGCUCACUAGUUUCCAGCCCCUUCUGGAUUGUCUGUUGAUACCUAGCACUAUCUAGUCUGCUUGCUAGCACCAAAGGUAAUUUACUAUUGAGCCGACAGAUGUAUCAUUUAUGGAAUGCGGUCUCAGCAAACGUGGGAACAUUGCCUUUAAUGUUUUUAUUAUUUAACAUUUAUUUAACUAGGCAAGUCGGUUAAGAACAAAUUAUUAUUUACAAUGA